CGCUGGCGGCGGGCCUAACACAUGCAAGUCGAGCGGUAGAGAGAAGCUUGCUUCUCUUGAGAGCGGCGGACGGGUGAGUAAUGCCUAGGAAUCUGCCUGGUAGUGGGGGAUAACGUUCGGAAACGAACGCUAAUACCGCAUACGUCCUACGGGAGAAAGCAGGGGACCCUCGGGCCUUGCGCUAUCAGAUGAGCCUAGGUCGGACUAGCUAGUUGGUGAGGUAAUGGCUCACCAAGGCGACGAUCCGUAACUGGUCUGAGAGGAUGAUCAGUCACACUGGAACUGAGACACGGUCCAGACUCCUACGGGAGGCAGCAGUGGGGAAUAUUGGACAAUGGGCGAAAGCCUGAUCCAGCCAUGCCGCGUGUGUGAAGAAGGUCUUCGGAUUGUAAAGCACUUUAAGUUGGGAGGAAGGGCAGUUACCUAAUACGUGAUUGUUUUGACGUUACCGACAGAAUAAGCACCGGCUAACUCUGUGCCAGCAGCCGCGGUAAUACAGAGGGUGCAAGCGUUAAUCGGAAUUACUGGGCGUAAAGCGCGCGUAGGUGGUUUGUUAAGUUGGAUGUGAAAUCCCCGGGCUCAACCUGGGAACUGCAUUCAAAACUGACUGACUAGAGUAUGGUAGAGGGUGGUGGAAUUUCCUGUGUAGCGGUGAAAUGCGUAGAUAUAGGAAGGAACACCAGUGGCGAAGGCGACCACCUGGACUAAUACUGACACUGAGGUGCGAAAGCGUGGGGAGCAAACA
rnacentral:rRNA from 1 species